rnacentral:rRNA from 1 species
CCUACGGGUGGCAGCAGUGAGGAAUAUUGCACAAUGGGGGAAACCCUGAUGCAGCAACGCCGCGUGAAGGAAGACGGUUUUCGGAUUGUAAACUUCUGUUCUUAGUGAACAAUAAUGACGGUAGCUAAGGAGCAAGCCACGGCUAACUACGUGCCAGCAGCCGCGGUAAUACGUAGGUGGAAGGCGUUGUCCGGAAUUACUGGGUGUAAGGGGAGCGAAGGCGGGAAGCCAAGUCAGCUGUGAAAACUACGGGCUUAAGUUGUGGACUGCAGUUGAGACUGGUUUUCUUGAGUGAAGUAGAGGUUGGCGGAAUGUCGGGUGUAGCGGUGAAAUGCGUAGAUAU